UAAUACGGAGGGUGCAAGCGUUAUUCGGAUUUAUUGGGCGUAAAGAGCGUGUAGGCGGUUGGGUUAGUCAGAUGUGAAAUCCUUCUGCUCAACAGAAGAAGUGCGUCUGAAACUGCUUAACUUGAGUACGAGAGAGGAAAGUGGAAUUCCCAGUGUAGAGGUGAAAUUCGUAGAUAUUGGGAGGAACACCUGUGGCGAAGGCGACUUUCUGGAUCGAUACUGACGCUGAGACGCGAAAGCGUGGGGAGCAAACAGGAUUAGAUACCCUGGUAGUCCACGCCGUAAACGAUGGGAACUAGGUGUAGCGGGUAUUGAUCCCUGCUGUGCCGGAGUUAACGCAUUAAGUUCCCCGCCUGGGGAGUACGGUCGCAAGGCUA
rnacentral:rRNA from 1 species